UGGAGGAGGUCCCCAAAUGAUGCGCAGCAUCAUUUUCGCAUGGGACCGACGAAUUGCCGCCGAAGCUUUAGCUGAGGGGGCGACACCAUAA
rnacentral:sRNA from 12 species